GACGAACGCUGGCGGCGUGCUUAACACAUGCAAGUCGAACGGAAAGGCCCGGCUUUUGUGGGUUGGUCGAUUGGCGAAGAGGGGAGUAACACGUGAGUAACAUGUCCUUGUCUGAGGGGGAACUUCAGGAAACAGGGGCUAAUACGGGAUAGGAUCUAUUGCUGCAGGGUGGGGGUUGGUAAGAUUCGGUGGUUGGGGGUGGACUCGAGGCUUAAGAGAUUGUUGGUGGGGUAGUGGAGUACCAGGGCUUUGAAGGGUAGCCGGCCUGGGAGGGUGACCGGCGCCAUUGGGACUGAGAUAAGGCACAGACUCGUAUGGUACGCAAUAGUGGAGAAUAUUGCACAGUGGCCUGAAGCAUGUUCCAGCAACGCCGCGUGCGGGAUGAUGUCCUUCGGGUUGUAAACCACUGUCGCAUUAGCCGAAGCGUUAGUGACGGUAACGGGUAAAGAAGCACCGGCUAACUACGUG
rnacentral:rRNA from 1 species